ACAAAGACAGCAAGUUCAGCGAGGACAAGCAAAUCUCAUAAACCGUGGCUCAGUUCAGAUCGUAGGCUGCAACUCGCCUACGUGAAGGAGGAAUCGCUAGUAAUCGCAGGUCAGCAUACUGCGGUGAAUACGUUCCCGGGCCUUGUACACACCGCCCGUCACACCAUGGAAGUUGGCCACGCCCGAAGCCGUUACUCCAACCCUUGUGGAGGAGGACGUCGAAGGUGGGGCUGAUGACUGGGGUGAAGUCGUAACAAGGUAGCCGUACCGGAAGGUGCGGCUGGAUCACCUCCUAA
rnacentral:rRNA from 1 species